UACGGAGGGAGCUAGCGUUGUUCGGAAUUACUGGGCGUAAAGCGCACGUAGGCGGCUCUUCAAGUCAGGGGUGAAAGCCCAGAGCUCAACUCUGGAACUGCCUUUGAGACUGAAGAGCUUGAGUACGGGAGAGGUGAGUGGAAUUCCCAGUGUAGAGGUGAAAUUCGUAGAUAUUGGGAAGAACACCGGUGGCGAAGGCGGCUCACUGGCCCGUUACUGACGCUCAGGCGCGACAGCGUGGGGAUCAAACAGG
rnacentral:rRNA from 1 species